UCCUACGGGAGGCAGCAGUGGGGAAUAUUGCACAAUGGGGGAAACCCUGAUGCAGCGACGCCGCGUGAAGGAUGAAGUAUUUCGGUAUGUAAACUUCUAUCAGCAGGGAAGAAAAUGACGGUACCUGACUAAAAAGCCCCGGCUAACUACGUGCCAGCAGCCGCGGUAAUA
rnacentral:rRNA from 1 species